GCCCCGUUAGCCCAGCUGGUAGAGCGCGUCACUAAUGAUGUGAUCUAGAAAAUCACAUCGUGAUCUUGAAAAUCAUAAAGUGACCUUGAAAGUCACGAUGACGAGUUCACCGGUUCGAGUUGGCUCUGGGAA